GAAAUGCGAUAAGUAAUGUGAAUUGCAGAAUUCAGUGAAUCAUCGAAUCUUUGAACGAACAUUGCGCCCCCUGGUAUUCCGGGGGGCAUGCCUGUUCGAGCGUCAUUUCACCACUCAAGCCUCGCUUGGUAUUGGGCGACGCGGUCCGCCGCGCGCCUCAAAUCGACCGGCUGGGUCUUCCGUCCCCUCAGCGUUGUGGAAACUAUUCGCUAAAGGGUGCCGCGGGAGGUCACGCCGCAAAACAACCCCAUUUCUAAGGUUGACCUCGGAUCAGGUAGGGAUACCCGCUGAACUUAAGC
rnacentral:misc_RNA from 1 species